CCUACGGGGUGCACCAGUGGGGAAUAUCGCACAAUGGGCGCAAGCCUGAUGCAGCCAUGCCGCGUGUAUGAAGAUGGCCUUCGGGUUGUAAAGUACCUUCAGCGGGGAGGAAGGCGAUAAGGUUAAUAACCUUGUCGAUUGACGUUACCCGCAGAAGAAGCACCGGCUAACUCCGUGCCAGCAGCCGCGGUAAUACGGAGGGUGCAAGCGUUAAUCGGAAUUACUGGGCGUAAAGCGCACGCAGGCGGUCUGUCAAGUCGGAUGUGAAAUCCCCGGGCUUAACCUGGGAAUGGCAUCUAAGACUGGUCAGCUAGAGUCUUGUAGAGGGGGGUAGAAUUCCAUGUGUAGCGGUGAAAUGCGUAGAGAUGUGGAGGAAUACCGGUGGCGAAGGCGGCCCCCUGGACAAAGACUGACGCUCAGGUGCGGAAGCGUGGGGAGCAAACAGGAUUAGAUACCCGCGUAGUC
rnacentral:rRNA from 1 species